rnacentral:rRNA from 1 species
AGCGGGGAGCAAGCUUGCUUGCUCUGCCGGCGACCGGCGCUUGGGUGAGUAACACGUAUGCAACCUGCCCUCCGCAGGGGGAUAACCCGGAGAAAUCCGGACUAAUACCGCGUGGUACACCUGUGGGGCAUCCCACGGGUGUUAAAAGGAAGUGAUUCCGGCGGAGGAUGGGCAUGCGGCGCAUUAGCUUGUUGGCGGGGUAACGGCCCACCAAGGCUACGAUGCGUAGGGGUUCUGAGAGGAAGGUCCCCCACACUGGUACUGAGACACGGACCAGACUCCUACGGGAGGCAGCAGUGAGGAAUAUUGGUCAAUGGGCGGGAGCCUGAACCAGCCAAGUCGCGUGAGGGAAGACGGUCCUAUGGAUUGUAAACCUCUUUAGGCGGGGAGCAAUGCCGGGCACGCGUGCCCGGAGGGAGAGUACCCGCAGAAUAAGCAUCGGCUAACUCCGUGCCAGCAGCCGCGGUAAUACGGAGGAUGCGAGCGUUAUCCGGAUUUAUUGGGUUUAAAGGGUGCGUAGGCGGAAUGCCAAGUCAGCGGUAAAAUCGCGGGGCUCAACCUCGCUCCGCCGUUGAAACUGGCGUUCUUGAGUGGGCGAGAAGUAUGCGGAAUGCGUGGUGUAGCGGUGAAAUGCAUAGAUAUCACGCAGAACUCCGAUUGCGAAGGCAGCAUACCGGCGCCCAACUGACGCUGAAGCACGAAAGCGUGGGUAUCGAACAGGAUUAGAUACCCUGGUAGUCCACGCAGUAAACGAUGAAUACUAGCUGUUCGGNGCAAAUGAGCCUUGAGUGGCACAGCGAAAGNGUUAAGUAUUCCACCUGGGGAGUACGCCGGCAACGGUGAAACUCAAAGGAA